rnacentral:ncRNA from 1 species
UCAUCAGCUAAGGCCCCUAAAUGACCGCUCAGUGAUGAAGGAAGUACGAGUGCAAAGACAGCCAGGAGGUUUUCCUAGAAGCAGCCAACCUUGAAAGAGUGCGUAAUAACUCACUGAUCAAAUGAUCUUAUGCCGAAGAUGCACGGGACUAAGUGAUCUGUCGAAGCUAUGGGAUGUAAAAAUACAUCGGUAGGGGAGCGUUCUACCUCAAAGGGAAGCACCGGUGCGAGUAGGUGUGGAUGAAGCGGAAGCGAGAAUGUUGGUUUGAGUAACGCAAACAUUGGUGAGAAUCCAAUGCCCCAAAAACCUAAGGGUUCCUCCGCAAGGUUCAUCCAUGGAGGGUGAGUCAAGGCCUAAGAUCAGGCUGAAAGACGUAGUUGAUGGACAACAGGUUAAUAUUCUUGUACUACCCCUUGUUGGUCCUGAGGGAUGGAGGAGGCUAGGUUAGCCGAAAGAUGGUUAUCGGUUCAAGGACGCAAGGUGAACCUGCUUUUUUCAGGGUAAGAAGGGGUAGAGAAAAUGCCUCGAGCCAAUGUCCGAGUACCAAGCGCUACAGCGCUGAAGUAACCCAUGCCAUACUCCCAGGAAAAGCU